CACGGGGGGAGCAAGCGUUGUUCGGAAUCACUGGGCGUAAAGGGCGUGUAGGCGGUCAGGUAAGUGGAAUGUGAAAGCCCUCGGCUCACCCGAGGAUCUGCAUUCCAAACUGCCUGGCUUGAGUAUGGGAGAGGAUGAGGGAAUUCCUGGUGUAGCGGUGAAAUGCGUAGAUAUCAGGAGGAACACCGGUGGCGAAGGCGGGUCUCUGGGCCGAUACUGACGCUGAGGAGCGAAAGCGUGGGGAGCGAACAGG
rnacentral:rRNA from 1 species